rnacentral:lncRNA from 1 species
CCUGAGAGGCAGUCCCUGCAGCAGGCUUGAGCCUCUCUCACUGACAGCCUGCCUCGCAUAAUGUUAAGCAGGCAUCGGACACUUGCUGGAAGGCAGGGAAUUGCAAUGAAAGAGCACGGAGGUGAGAAGCUGUGCUCCUUGGGGUGAAGGCAGCUUCUGUGCUCCUGGGAUCUACUGUUAAGCCAGGGUGACGCCAGCUUGCAUGCUACCGGAGGGCUGUGAGCUUUUGCCUGAUAGGAACUGAGUUCCAGCUCACACAGAACCCCAAGGCUCCCUCAGGACCCUGGGCAAAGUCCGGCUCGCAGAGGAACCCUGGCUCCCUUAGGACCCUCACACAGGACCCCUGGCUCCCUCAGGACCCUGGGCAGAGUUCCGGCUCACACACGACGCCCCUGCUCCCUCAGGACCCUGGGCAGAGUCCCGGCUCACACAGGACCCGCCUGCUCCCUCAGGACCCUGGGCAGAGUCCCGGCUCACACAGGACCCCUGGCUCCCUCAGGACACUGGGCAGAGUCCCGGCUCACACAGGACCCCUGGCUCCCUCAGGACACUGGGCAGAGUCCCAGCUCACAUAGGACCCCUGGCUCCUUCAGGACACUGGGCACAGAGUCCCAGCUCACGCAAGACCCCCGUCUCCCUCACACCCGCUGACUGAUGAAUUCCUGUGUGUUUUGUAUCCGUGACCCAAAUCAGGUAAAAGCUGCAUAGAGAAAUGGGAGGCGGUGGGCACAAGGAUCGUGCGACGCCCCGCUGUGGGUGUGGGACCUGCAGCCUCAGGGGCAUGCGGGCUGGCAGCCACUGUCUCCAUGCCGGGUACGUAGAUACUGCCAUCACCUUGGGGUCAGCAUCUAGGGCCCUAUUGGAGCUCACACUCAGCUCUACUGGGCAUCAGAUUCUGUCUGGGAUGCACGGCGGGAAUUAGAGACAUGGGUUGGAAGUGGGGCUCAGAGAUCAGAGACAAAUGUGGCCAACUGAAAAUCAGGCUGGGCUCCAGCUCCGGCUGCAGAUGGGUGGAAAAGUCAGAGGUGCAGCAGCUGCUCCCCAGCCGCGAACGGCUGGUGAAAUGGGAAUCUGAUGGAAAGAGGCUGCACGGUGCUCACCUGAGUGGCCAGGCCUCCAGGCCCGGCGAGGGGGACUCUGAGGUGAGCAGGUCGGAGGUGCUCCUGGUUUUCCCAUCAGCCCUGGUCAGUGUCUGGGGGAUGCCCAGGAGAAGCAGCAGAAGCCCUGGGUCCCUGCUACCCAUGGAGUCUAGAGGGCCGAGCCUUUGCCCUGGGAUCGGGGAGCCAGGGCAUCACAGACACCUCCUGCCUCAUGCUGUCCCUGCGCCCCGGGGCAUCACUCAGAGACUCCUCCAUGGCAAGGGCGCUCUGUCUGGUGCCAGCCAGGAGCCAGGGGAAGAUUCGAUUAGGAGACUAUGGGUGCCUUCGCAGGCUUUCAGGAAACUCUGAUGGACUCAUGAGGCCUCUCUUUCCUGGUAGUGGCUCAGGGGUGCUGCAGUGUGUGGCUGGUGUGCUCCACGUCUGUCUUGUCUUCCAAGGGGACUCCCUGGAUCAGAGUUAGGCAGGGACAGGCGACCUGUUUCUGGGAUCUCCAAUCACUGCCACUGGAAUCUAAGGGGACUCACCCAAACCCACCCACAGGGCAAGCAGCUCUCCUCGCAAAUCAAUGAUGUUCCAAAUGAGUUUUUCCAGCAGAGCACACAGAGACCCCUCUUCAAUAACUGCUUAAUAUCUGUAAUAGGUCUUAUUAGUGUUUUCUAAGAUAGAGUCCUGUUGAGAAGGCCGGCUGAGCUCCCGUGUGUCUGGCAUCUGGCUCGGCAGAAGGGAUUUCCAUGUCUGCUUGCAGGCUGGGGCCCAGUCUGGCUCUGGAUGGAAUGCUGGCCUUGCACAAAGGAAGGGAGCUACAGAAGGCAGGAUUCAGAGGCUGAGUCCCCCAGGGAUGGAGGACACAAGAUGUGGAAUGCAGGUGUCCUGUGAGCAGGGGCAGGGAGCACGGAAGAGGGCAGUCUCAGGCUGUGCAGAAGGAAAGGCAGCAGCAGCUGCCCCGGCCCUCUAGGCUUCCUGGGUGAAACCCUUGGCUUUACAAAGACCCAUCUCUUGAGGGGCAUUUGGGGUGAGGCAGGAUGGAGAGGCCCUGGAGUAAUGAUGUCAGGGCAUGUGAAGGAAGAGAAGAAGUGGUUCUCUGUGCUGGGUUUUGGCAGAGAAGACUUGGAAAGGAUUUGAGUUAAUACAUUUUAAACAAUGAGUUUUCAAAGGUUGUUCCAGGCAGUCUCUGUAGAUGCCUCUCACGGGAGGAAGACAUCUCCAACCACAUUUCAGGAGCCAGCCCUGCAGCUUUAUCCAUGCCAACAGCUGAAAACAGCGCCAGGCAGCAAAUGUGCAAAGAAGCGUGUGGAGAUGCCAUGGGGAUUCAGGCCUUCAGCCUUGCCCUCCAGGAGAUGACCACAUUGGAAAGUUCUGCUCCACCGAGCUUUUGUAGGCGUUGUCAGAGAGCAGAGCGGUUCCACACCCUGCAUUGCAACGGAGGCUUAAUGCAGUGGCUGUGACUGUUCCCUCCACUGGGGAGUUCAGCGCAGAGCUCCCCGCUGCAAGGAUCUGUCUCUAAGCACCUGCCUCCCCGGAACAAGUCAUCACGACAACCAAGAGAGCUUGCAACCGAGACUACACAGCCCUCAUCCUUGUAAGGAAAAAAAGUGACAGAUGAGUCUUUGGCUCAGCAGAAUGGGCCUAGGUGGAGCUUGAAAUUAAUGAAGAGAUGCUGCUUCCAGCUUUUUGAGCAAGAAGAAGUUUGGCCUCCAGUUAUUACACCUUGAGGUCAGCGGGUAUCUCAAGUCUGAGUAGUUAUAAAAGUGAGCUGAUGUAGAAACACCACCAAAGCAACGUUUUAUCUAAAUAUUUCAGAUCCCCCAUUAUAAAUCAUUUAUUAUGAUUACCCUUUUGGUGUCAUGGAAUGAGAUGAUGAGCUUUUCUUAAUGAAGUAUUUCAUAGACAUAUUUUUUCCAUUUAUCUUGGUGUUGGAUGCUAUGUGACCUGAAUGGCAAAUGAGGAAAUAUUUGUGCAACUCCUGAAAUGCACACAUCUCCCCAUGCCAGAGUGCAGGAGCGGACAGGGCUUUCCCUGGCAGCAAUAGGAGCCCGGUCCUGAGUAGGGCCUCUCCAGCCUGACUGCACCAUAGCAGGUGACAUCUGACUUGGGGUGUGCCAUGUUCCCAGAGCUGCUUUUUUAAGGAGUUUGGUGGGAGCUGGAGGAAGCAUCCACAUCUUUAAAAACAAACCUUAACUCGUGAGAAGAAAAGUGGUAAACAUUCAAACACAAUUUGAACUUUUAAUUUAGCCUUGUGAGUUCAUCUAUAUCCAUUUCCAGGAAAGGUCAUGGGCUGAGGUGUGGUGCUUCACUGAAAUAAAUGCACUUUGGAGUUGACAGUAACCAAGCAAGGCCAGGGACCCUGAGGAGACCCCUCCCCACACUUGCAAUGAUCAAACAUGCUACAUCUUAGAAAUUGGAUCUGCCGGUUUAUGGCAACUUGACGUAAAAUGUGUAUCUCAGGUCAGGCUGAUCUGAUUUAAAUAUCUUAGUGUUAGGCAUUCUCUAUCUGACAUUGUGAAAACGCAUAUAAUGGAACCAAGAUUAGAAUAUCAAGAUGACAAGAAGGAUUGUACCUUGAAGACAGUAAAAGUCACUUGCAUUCUGGGGUUACACAUUUAAUUUAAAAUAGUUUUAUUCCCUGUUCCUAGGGUCCUUGUAACUCUCUCCUCUGCUAUAUUUAUAUUAAAUAAAUAAUUUUAAAUGAGUCAAAGUGUCUUGCUCCUUGGCCCACUAUAGAAUGUCAGUGUUCCUUUUCAAUAUUUCUACUUCUUAGAUCCUGCCUUCACCACAAUGGGGGUUCAUACAGGGUUGGAGUAGGUUGUUCUUCUCACCAAGUUCCCAAGCCCACAUAAAAUGGCAGCAUCAUAUUUCACCGGACCCAGCUCUGCAGAAAGUAGUGGAAAAAAAAGUCUGUGAUGGACUUAGGACCCAAGGAGGCAAAACAGAGUUUGGCUUUUCCCUUAGGGCUCUGUAUAUGUCAAAGAGGACCACACAUGGGCCAAGUGACGUGCAUAUUGUGCCUGGGUGAUGCUGCCCCAGCUUCUACCCACCAUGGAUGGGACCAACAAAUGCUUCCCAGCUGAGAGGCAGUCACAGUGCCAGGGUGAUCACAAAAUUGCCCAGUUGGAUGAAGACUACCCAGAAACUGGAGGAUAACCUCACCCACUCUCAGCUACCAGUAGGGUCAAUAGUAAGCCAGAAGUGAAAGCUUUCUUUCCAUUGCCUCUUACUUUGUUUCCCCAUGUCACAGUCAGCUAUACCUUCCUAAGCCAUAACUCUGAUCAUGCCCCCUGCCCCCGUUUCAGACCCUUCAGAAGCUUCACUUUGUCUCUGGAAUGAACUGGAGCAUCCGCUUCUCAGCCUCUGAGGCCCCACGUGCACUGCACCCGCCCUUCCUCAGCCUCCCCAUCACAUGGCUCUUUCCAAACCCAUGGGCUGAGCCUGCUCUCAGGGCCUCCAUGUGCCACCCUCUGCUCAGCCUCAGAGUUUCCACGUGUGUCUUAGCCUCCUGUUCUGUGCUGCAAUAACAGAAUACCUGAGACCAGGUGGUUUAUAAAUAAUGGAAAUAUAUUUCUUACAGUUCUGGAGGCUGGAAAAUCUAAGAUCAAAAUGCCAACAGGUUUGGUGUCUGGUGAGGGCCCACUCUCCACUUCCAAGACGAUGCCUUGAACACUGCAUCCUCCAGCGUGGAGGAAACACAGUUCCUCACAUGUCAGAAGAACAAAAGAGGAAAGAGAGAGCCCACUCUCAAAAGCCCUUUUGUUUAAGGUAUUAAACCCACCAUGAGGGAAGAGCCUACAUGGCCUUACCACCUGUUAAAGGCUUCACCUCCCAAGACCAUUACAUUGGCAAUUACAUUUCAACAUCAACCUUCAGGCCUCCACUUAAGCGAGUUCUGACGUCAGUGAAUACUUCUGCAGCAUGGAAGUGCCAGGACCCUCGUUGGCCCCUGAUGGCCAAAUAGCCUCACUCUCCAUUAGAAGAGAAAGCCUCACUCUCCAUUAGAAGGCCAGGAGAGCGAAAUCAGGGAUUGCUUUCAAAACAAACAGUGUGGCAAUAAAGAAUUUCAG